rnacentral:rRNA from 1 species
GACGAACGCUGGCGGCGCGCUUAACACAUGCAAGUCGAGCGAUGAAAUUUCGACAGAUCCCUUCGGGGUGAAGAUGAAAUGGAUUAGCGGCGGACGGGUGAGUAACACGUGAGUAACCUGCCUUUGACAUUGGGAUAGCCUCGGGAGACUGGGAUUAAUACCAAAUGACACUAACUGAUCACAUGAUCAAUUAGUCAAAGAAAUUCGGUCAAAGAUGGACUCGCGGCUGAUUAGCUAGUUGGUGAGGUAACGGCCCACCAAGGCGACGAUCAGUAGCCGGCCUGAGAGGGUGAUCGGCCACAUUGGAACUGAGACACGGUCCAAACUCCUACGGGAGGCAGCAGUGGGGAAUAUUGCACAAUGGGGGAAACCCUGAUGCAGCGACGCCGCGUGAGCGAAGAAGGCCUUCGGGUCGUAAAGCUCUUUUAUGAGGGAAGAUAAUGACGGUACCUCAAGAAAAAGCCCCGGCUAACUACGUG